rnacentral:misc_RNA from 1 species
GAAAUGCGAUAAGUAAUGUGAAUUGCAGAAUUCAGUGAAUCAUCGAAUCUUUGAACGCACAUUGCGCCCGCCAGUACUCUGGCGGGCAUGCCUGUUCGAGCGUCGUUUCAACCAUCAAGCCCCCGGCUUGUGUUGGGGACCUGCGGCUGCCCGCAGGCCCUGAAAAACAGUGGCGGGCUCGCUGUCACACCGAGCGUAGUAGCAUACAUUCUCGCUCAGGGCGUGCUGCGGGUUCCGGCCGUUAAACGACCUUCAUAACCCAAGGUUGACCUCGGAUCAGGUAGGAAGACCCGCUGAACUUAAGC